GACGAACCGUACGAACGUUAUUCGGAAUUACUGGGCUUAAAGGGGUGCGAGUAGGCGGCGCAGUAAGUUGGGUGUGAAAUCCCUACGGCUUAACCGAGGAAGUUGCGGCCCAAAACUACUGUGCUCGGAGGGAGGUAGAGGUGAGCGGAACGUUAGGGUGGAGCGGUGAAAUGCGUUGAAUAUCCUAAGGAACACCGGUGGCGAAAGCGGCUCACUGGAC
rnacentral:rRNA from 1 species